rnacentral:rRNA from 1 species
GACGAACGCUGGCGGCGUGCUUAACACAUGCAAGUCGAACGGAAAGGCCCUGCUUUUGUGGGGUGCUCGAGUGGCGAACGGGUGAGUAACACGUGAGUAACCUGCCCUUGACUUUGGGAUAACUUCAGGAAGCUGGGGCUAAUACCGGAUAGGAGCUCCUGCUGCAUGGUGGGGGUUGGAAAGUUUCGGCGGUUGGGGAUGGACUCGCGGCUUAUCAGCUUGUUGGUGGGGUAGUGGCUUACCAAGGCUUUGACGGGUAGCCGGCCUGAGAGGGUGACCGGCCACAUUGGGACUGAGAUACGGCCCAGACUCCUAUGGGAGGCAGCAGUGGGGAAUAUUGCACAAUGGGCGGAAGCCUGAUGCAGCAACGCCGCGUGCGGGAUGACGGCCUUCGGGUUGUAAACCGCUUUCGCCUGUGACGAAGCGUGAGUGACGGUAAUGGGUAAAGAAGCACCGGCUAACUACGUG